rnacentral:rRNA from 1 species
GGAAACCGGGGCUAAUACCGGAUAACAUUUUGAACCGCAUGGUUCGAAAUUGAAAGGCGGCUUCGGCUGUCACUUAUGGAUGGACCCGCGUCGCAUUAGCUAGUUGGUGAGGUAACGGCUCACCAAGGCAACGAUGCGUAGCCAACCUGAGAGGGUGAUCGGCCACACUGGGACUGAGCCAUGAUCCAAAUUUCUACGGGAGGCAGCAGUAGGGAAUCUUCCGCAAUGGACGAAAGUCUGACGGAGCAACGCCGCGUGAGUGAUGAAGGCUUUCGGGUCGUAAAACUCUGUUGUUAGGGAAGAACAAGUGCUAGUUGAAUAAGCUGGCACCUUGACGGUACCUAACCAGAAAGCCACGGCUAACUACGUGCCAGCAGCCGCGGUAAUACGUAGGUGGCAAGCGUUAUCCGGAAUUAUUGGGCGUAAAGCGCGCGCAGGUGGUUUCUUAAGUCUGAUGUGAAAGCCCACGGCUCAACCGUGGAGGGUCAUUGGAAACUGGGAGACUUGAGUGCAGAAGAGGAAAGUGGAAUUCCAUGUGUAGCGGUGAAAUGCGUAGAGAUAUGGAGGAACACCAGUGGC